rnacentral:rRNA from 1 species
ACUCAAAUGAAUAGACGGGGGCCCGCACAAGCGGUGGAGCAUGUGGUUUAAUUCGACGCAACGCGAAGAACCUUACCAAGGCUUGACAUGGGAAAGACCGGACGAGAGAUCGUCCUUCUCCAGCAAUGGAGCUUUCCACACAGGUGCUGCAUGGCUGUCGUCAGCUCGUGUCGUGAGAUGUUGGGUUAAGUCCCGCAACGAGCGCAACCCCCGUUUUCAGUUGCCAGCAUUCAGUUGGGCACUCUGGAGAGACUGCCGCGAAUAACGCGGAGGAAGGUGGGGACGACGUCAAGUCAUCAUGGCCCUUACGUCUUGGGCUACACACGUGCUACAAUGGGCGUUACAAAGGGUCGCAAGCGCGCAAGCGGGAGCCAAUCCUCAAAAGCGCCCUCAGUUCGGAUUGAGGUCUGCAACUCGACCUCAUGAAGGUGGAAUCGCUAGUAAUCGCGGAUCAGAACGCCGCGGUGAAUACGUUCCCGGGCCUUGCACACACCGCCCGU